UUCUUUAAGCCCUAAUUUAAAGUAAGACCUGCUCAAUGAUAACAUAAAUAGCCGCAGUUUUACUGUGCUAAGGUAGCAUAAUAAUUUGCUCUUUAAUUAAGAGAUAGAAUGAAAGGUCACACAUUAAAAAUCUGUUUCUAUAAAAUUCAAUAAAAUUAAGAAAAAAGUUAAAACUCUUUUAAAUAAAAGCGGGACGACAAGACCCUGAUAAACUCAUCAUUUAGUUGGGGAAACAAAUAAACAAAAUUUUAAUCAAUAUAAAAAUCAAAACUUUAAUAUAAAAUUAAGACUAGUUACUACAGGGAUAACAGCGUUAUUUCUUUCAAGAGCCCUAAUCUAAAAAGAAGAUUACGACCUCGAUGUUGAAUUAAUUAACCUAUACACAGUGCAACAACUUUAUAAGGUAGUCUGUUCGACUAUUAAAAAA
rnacentral:rRNA from 1 species